UUUUUUUUUGUUUUUCUAUAAAUUCUUCAAAAUAUUGAUUGAUUAUUAUAAAUAGAAUAAAUAGAUUUCACAGAUCAUAGAUCAAUAUUGAAGUCUGUCAAAUAGAAAGUUAGUUGAACUGUGGGAAGAGAGAGACAGAGACAGACAGAGAGAGAUUGAUAUUUAUGAUGCAUUUUGCAUAUUUGCUAUUUGCUAUUUGCAUUCCAAGACAAAUCGCUCUUGACAGCGGCAAGCUGUUGGACACGUUCAAUUCAAAACUCAACGGUUGAUUGGGCGCACAGCUGAGCGAGGAACACACACAUGCACACGCACACACAGCUAGACCGAGUCAGAGCCUACAGCAGAGAGCAGAGAGCGCGGCCCAGCUGUUUGUGUGCGAAGAGAGCGCGUCGCCUGCUGAGUAAGAACAGCCGGCAAGCGCCAAAGCAACGGUAAAAUCAAUAUUUACUUUGCUGGCAGCUGUUUGCAGCUGUAUUGGUAUGUAUGGGUGUGUGUGUGUGUGUGCUGCUGAAUCAGAUGGCUCGCCUUCCAGUCAUUUUCACAGUCACAGUUUUAAUGCUGCGUCGUAUCGACUUGAUUUGAGUUUAGUCAUUGAAAUUAAUCAUUAGUUCUAUUUGGAUAGUUUGCUACUCUAUAAUGUAGACUGAUCCUUGGUCUAGCCCAGUGCCUGGACUGCCAUUCAACUUUGGCAUUUGCUGCGACUGGAAGUUGCGUAAUUUCAUUAGCGUUGCCCAAUCGAAUAUCAUGCACAUCGACUUCCAGUCGGUCGGCGUUUAGCGGCAUUUUUCUUCCACGUAUAUUUUUUUUGUUUUUGUUUUUGUUUUUCUUGUUUUUUUGUUUUUGUUUUUGGCUCUGACACGAGGACGCGGCGUCGUUAACGAGAUAUCGUCGUCGACUGCUGCUGCUGCUAUGUAUAUCCGCCGUACUGUCCGGCAAUUCGUGGUCAGCGUCUCAGUUGUUAUCCGAGUGUCUUGUGCAUUAUAUGAGUAACAAUUCAUAGUCCGUCGCACUUCUAAAACAAAGCACAUUGAAAAAUAUAUAUUCAACAGCAAACGAA